UCAGAAACUGGGACAGGGAGCCAGAGCUCACAUCAAAAUCUGUCCGUGUCCGUCACACUGAGCCUGGCAGGAGGCUACUCACUGAUUUCACUCCACGCUGCAGGAAUGUGACCACAGACUGAAAAUGGACACAGCUCCUCCACAGGGCCGUGACAAGUCUCAGCCCAAGCUAACCCUGCUGCCCCCUUCCCCAGAGCAGGUCCAGACCAAGGGCACUGCCACCCUGGUCUGCCUUGCCAAUCACUUCUAUCUCGAUGAGCUGGUAGUGCAGUGGAAGAAGGAUGGUGCAGUCAUUUCAGACGGGGUUCAGACCAGGCACUACUUGCGAGCUUCGGACAGCACCUACAGUGUCAGCACCCUGCUGACCUUUUCUGGCUCUGACUGGGAGUCCAACGCUCUCUUUUCCUGUGCUCUCACCCAUGUCACUCUCUCCUCUCCCCUCAGCAAGAGCAUCAGGAGAUCAGAAUGUGUGUAGUUUGUUUAAGACCAUCUACAGUGAAGACACAACUUUAAAUAGAACAGGGCUGAGCUGGCAGGACAAAGGUCAUCGGCAGCAAGGAAAUUCAACUCUCUUCCUUCUCGGGACUGGCUUGGAGGCAGUUCUGAGGUUCAGAGGUUAAGGCAGGUCAUUGGGACAGUGUGGAGGGAGACUUCCUCUGUAUCUAACUCCAUGCUGUGCUGUCCUGGAAGUGUGGGGACAGCGUUGACUUGUGAAGCCAAGUCAAACCUCUCAAAGACGCUGAAGACUGUCAGCUGCACCAAAACAUCCUGCUCCUCUAAUGCUUCUUGGCCUGCUUUGUUCAUCCAGCUCUACACCUUGUUACCUCUGAACCUCAGACGUUUCUGCUUCAGCAAACCAAACUCCUUCCUGCUCAGCAGCUAGUUCCAAUUUAAGGUUUUGUCACUGUUUGAAGGCAUGGGAUUCUCAUGUUAUUGAGAAAAUCUCCACAAGUAUUUUCCAUUGUGGCUGUGAAUUUUGCAGCUUCCUCUGUCUGAGCUGUUAAUUGCAGUGUUUAUUCUAUCAAUGUCAAUGUGGAAAAGAGAAUAAAAAUG